CUUCCUACGGGGGGCAGCAGUGGGGGAUAUUGCACAAUGGGGGAAACCCUGAUGCAGCGACGCCGCGUGUAGGAAGACGGUCCUCUGGAUUGUAAACUACUGUCCCCAGGGACGAAGAUGACGGUACCUGGGGAGGAAGCUCCGGCUAACUACGUGCCAGCAGCCGCGGUAAUACGGAGGAUGCGAGCGUUACCCGGAUUUAUUGGGUUUAAAGGGUGCGCAGGCGGCACGGCAGGCCGGCGGUCAAAUCGCGGGGCUCAACCCCGCCCAGCCGUCGGAACUGCCGGGCUAGAGUGGGCGAGAAG
rnacentral:rRNA from 1 species